GACUCGGUAGCUUAAUUGGUGAAGCACUCAUAUAGCAUACAAGAGUCCUGGGUUCGAAUCCCAGCCGAGCA
rnacentral:tRNA from 1 species